rnacentral:rRNA from 1 species
AUAUCUAAGGUUUCCAGAGUAAAGCUGAUCUGCUCUGGGUAAGUCGGGGCCUAAGCACAGGUCGCAAGACGUAAGCGAUGGAUAACAGGUUUAGAUUCCUGUACCACGCAUUAUCAGAACUGUAGGGACGCAUGUGGAAAGCACGAGCCGGGAAUGGAAAAACCGGUACAAGCGGGGUAAGUGUACAAUAGGCAAAUCCGUUGUAUAAUCCGAAGACGUGAUGUGGAGCGAAAUAAAGUAGUGAAGCGUGUGAGCCAUGUGCCGAGAAAAGCUGCUAUUGUGUAAUGCGUGCCCGUACCGUAAACCGACACAGGUGGAUGAGGAGAGAAUCCUAAGGCCGACGGAAGAAGCAUUGUUAAGGAAUUCGGCAAAAUGACCCCGUAACUUCGGGAGAAGGGGUGCCUGCGAGAGCAGGCCGCAGAGAAUAGGCUCAAGCAACUGUUUAGCAAAAACACAGGUCUAUGCGAAACCGAAAGGUGAAGUAUAUGGGCUGACGCCUGCCCGGUGCUGGAAGGUUAAGAGGAGAGGUUAGCGUAAGCGAAGCUUUGAAUUUAAGCCCCAGUAAACGGCGGCCGUAACUAUAACGGUCCUAAGGUAGCGAAAUUCCUUGUCGGGUAAGUUCCGACCCGCACGAAAGGCGUAAUGAUUUGAGCACUGUCUCGACAAUGCAUCCGGUGAAAUUGAAGUACCAGUGAAGAUGCUGGUUACCCGCGCCAGGACGGAAAGACCCCAUGGAGCUUUACUCCAGUUUGAUACUGGGAUUCGGUACUGCAUGUACAGGAUAGGUGGGAGACGAAGAAGGAUGGACGCCAGUCUGUCCGGAGUCGCUGUUGGGAUACCACCCCUGUAGUACUGGGUUUCUAACCAGUUGCCAUGAACUGGCAAUGGGACAAUGUCAGGCGGGGAGUUUGACUGGGGCGGUCGCCUCCGAAAGGGUAUCGGAGGCGCUCAAAGGUUCCCUCAGAAUGGUUGGAAACCAUUCGAAGAGUGCAAAGGCAGAAGGGAGCUUGACUGCGACACCGACGGGUGGAGCAGGUACGAAAGUAGGACUUAGUGAUCCGGUGGUAUAAAGUGGGAUUGCCAUCGCUCAACGGAUAAAAGCUACCCUGGGGAUAACAGGCUUAUCACUCCCAAGAGUUCACAUCGACGGAGUGGUUUGGCACCUCGAUGUCGGCUCAUCGCAUCCUGGGGCUGUAGCAGGUCCCAAGGGUUGGGCUGUUCGCCCAUUAAAGCGGUACGCGAGCUGGGUUCAGAACGUCGUGAGACAGUUCGGUCCCUAUCCGGCGCGGGCGGAGGAUAUUUGAGAGGAGCUGUCCUUAGUACGAGAGGACCGGGAUGGACGGACCACUGGUGUAUCUGUUGGCUAUCAGAGGCAUGGCAGAGUAGCCAAGUCCGGAAGGGAUAAACGCUGAAGGCAUCUAAGCGUGAAGCCCCCCUCAAGAUGAGAUAUCCCUCCUUCGGGAGUAAGACCCCUUGAAGACUACAAGGUAGAUAGGGCAGAGGUGGAAGCAUGGCAACAUGUGGAGCUGACUGUUACUAAUAGGUCGAGGGCUUAAUCU